rnacentral:rRNA from 1 species
AACGAACGCUGGCGGCAUGCCUAACACAUGCAAGUCGAACGAGACCUUCGGGUCUAGUGGCGCACGGGUGCGUAACGCGUGGGAACCUGCCCUUAGGUUCGGAAUAACUCCCCGAAAGGGGUGCUAAUACCGGAUAAUGUCUUCGGACCAAAGAUUUAUCGCCUUUGGAUGGGCCCGCGUUGGAUUAGCUAGUUGGUAGGGUAAAAGCCUACCAAGGCGACGAUCCAUAGCUGGUCUGAGAGGAUGAUCAGCCACACUGGGACUGAGACACGGCCCAGACUGGUGCGGGAGGCAGGAGUGGGGAAUGGGGCACAAGGGGGGAAAGCCUGAGGGAGCAACGAGGCGUGAGGGAUGAAGGUGUUCGGAGGGGAAAACAGUGUGGUUGGGGAAGAAAAGAAGGGUGAGAAGCUGUGGGGAGCAUGACGGGACCUAAUGAGAAAGCCCCGGCUAACUACGUG